UGGGGAAUAUUGCACAAUGGAGGGAACUCUGAUGCAGCGACGCCGCGUGAGUGAUGAAGGAAUUCGUUUCGUAAAAAUCUGUUCUAUGGGAAGAAAAGGACUGUACCAUAGGAGAAAGCUCCGGCUAAAUACGUGCCAGCAGCCGCGGUAAUACGUAUGGAGCGAGCGUUGUCCGGAAUUAUUGGGCGUAAAGGGUGCGCAGGCGGCUUUACAAGUUGGAUGUGAAAUAUUGUUGCUCAACCACAAACGUGCAUCCAAAACUGCAAAGCUUGAGUUAAGGAGAGGUAAGUAGAAUUCCUGGUGUAGCGGUAGAAUGAGUAGAUAGCAGGAGGAAUACCGGUGGCGAAGGCGACUUACUGGACUUAAGCUGACGCUCAGGCACGAAAGCGUGGGGAGCAAACAGG
rnacentral:rRNA from 1 species